UACGUAGGACCCAAGCGUUAUCCGGAAUUACUGGGCGUAAAGAGUUGCGUAGGUGGCAGAGUAAGUCAGGCGUGAAAGCCCCGGGCUCAACCUCGGAACUGCCUUCGAUACUGCGGGUCUCGAGUCCGGGAGAGGUGAGUGGAAUUCCUAGUGUAGAGGUGAAAUUCGUAGAUAUUAGGAAGAACACCAGUGGCGAAGGCGGCUCACUGGCCCGGUACUGACGCUGAGGCGCGAAAGCGUGGGGAGCAAACAGG
rnacentral:rRNA from 1 species